rnacentral:tRNA from 6 species
UGGGGUGUCGCCAAGUGGUAAGGCACAGGGUUUUGAUCCCUGCAUACCUAGGUUCGAAUCCUAGCACCCCAGCCA